rnacentral:rRNA from 1 species
UACGUAGGGGGCAAGCGUUGUCCGGAUUUAUUGGGCGUAAAGAGCUCGUAGGCGGCUCGGUAAGUGAGGUGUGAAAACUCCAGGCUCAACCUGGAGACGGCACCUCAUACUGCCGUGGCUAGAGUCCGGUAGGGGAGCAUGGAAUUCCUGGUGUAGCGGUGAAAUGCGCAGAUAUCAGGAGGAACACCGGUGGCGAAGGCAGCUCGCUGGGACGGUACUGACGCUGAGACGCGAAAGCGUGGGGAGCAAACAGG